AUUGAACGCUGGCGGAAUGCUUUACACAUGCAAGUCGAGCGGCAGCGCGGGGCAACCUGGCGGCGAGCGGCGAACGGGUGAGUAAUACAUCGGAACGUACCCAGUUGUGGGGGAUAGCCCGGCGAAAGCCGGAUUAAUACCGCAUACGACCUGAGGGUGAAAGUGGGGGAUCGCAAGACCUCACGCAGUUGGAGCGGCCGAUGGCGGAUUAGCUAGUUGGUAGGGUAAAGGCCUACCAAGGCGACGAUCCGUAGCGGGACUGAGAGGACGACCCGCCACACUGGAAAUGAGAAACGGUCCAGAUGCCUACGGGAGGCAGCAGUGGGGCAUUUUGGAAAAUGGGGACAACCCUGAUCCAGCCAUUCCGCGUGAGUGAAGAAGGCCUUCGGGUUGUAAAGCUCUUUCGGCAGGAACGAAACGGCGGGCUCUAACAUAGCCUGCUAAUGACGGUACCUGAAGAAGAAGCACCGGCUAACUACGUGCCAGCCGCCGCGGUAAUAC
rnacentral:rRNA from 1 species